rnacentral:lncRNA from 1 species
UUCUGGCAUGUUUCUCCUUGACAGCCACUUCCUGUGUAUUAAUAGCCUUAUUGAUGCUGACAGUCAUUUUGCCCGCCUCCAUGGCCGCUCCCGCCGGGCCUCGCCGGAGCCCGAUCGGCGGGGCCGGGCCCCGCUCCCCGCUCCCCGCGGCUCCGCAGCUCCCACGGCGGCGGCGCGGGGCGGGGGCGGGGCGGGGGCGAAGCGCGCUCCCGCGUGGCCCCGCGGAGGAAUGGGGGGAGGGAGGUGGGAGCGCGCUCAGCCCUGCGCUGAACAACAAAGGGCGGCCGCGGGGUCGGCGCGCUGCUGAGCCCCCCCCGCUCCCCCCCGGUGCCGGGAGCGUCUCCGAGCUCGGGGAGUGGGGGCGACGAGGGAUGAGCGCGGGGUGCCCCUCUGCCCGAGCCCUGCCCCGGGGCUACGGGACGGGGAGCAGCCGGGCCGGAGAGAGCGCGGCAGCAGGUCGGCGUCUUUGUUUUUCUGUCGAGAAGCGCUUUAGCAGCUCCACAUGGGAGGCACAAAAGAAACCCAAACAACUCCGCUCUCAUUCUUUAAAUUCCCUUAAAGCAAACCCAAAGCAGGGAGAAGGAAAAGCAUCGCAGCACCGAAACGCAGCUGGCCCAGCGCAGAAGGUUCCCAGCCCUGGGGAAAAGAUGCUGCGUGGUGCCGGCCGCGGGGGCUAACGGGGCCGAGGGCUGCUGUGCUCUGCUCACGGCUCAGCUGCUCACUAAGGGACUCAGCUGCUCAGUUUUCACAACUUACCCUCAGCUUUCACUCGUUGCCCUCACCCUGUAGAUACCCGGUGAUGUGAAAAAAGUCCCAAAGAGUGAAUCCCCCCUUCCAAUAAACCUAGUUCCUAUGGGAGAAGGUGCUCUGGUACCUAUUCCUCAUCCCAGCCCAUAGGUACGCACAAGGCAGUGCUCUGGGUGUAAGCACCCAUCCCCAUCACAGGCACCUGUCCCCAUCCCAGCACAUCCUUGCAGCACAUGUGGCACUCCAUGCGUCAGGUCUCCAUGAUACCAACCACAGCUCGAGCAUAGGAGGCAAAGCCUGGAGGGAGUGCUGUGGGGUGAGAAAGGGAGCUGGGUUUGCUCCCUCCUAGCCGCAGAGCCCUGCUUUCAGCAGUACUAUUUAUGGGAUUUGGGAUAAAGCCCACCAUCUGCCCCAAGAAAACCUUGGUAACUUGUGUACAGAUAUAGCAAAUGAGGACUGACCAUCUGAGACGUGAGA